AUUCGUUCUCAAAAUUAAGCACUUUGGUAACUCUAAGUCUAAGUGACUGCAAUCUGUUGGCACUCCCUGAUGACCCUAGCUGCUUGUUGUCAAUAGAGUAUUUGAAUUUGAGCAAAAAUAAUUUUAUAUGCUUGCCCGAUUACAUUUCUCAACUUUCAAAGCUCAAAAUUCUUUUCUUGGAUCAUUGUAGCAAGCUUAAAUCAUUGCCAUAUGUUCCAUUAAGUACAAGGUUAGUUUCAGUACAAGGAUGUACUGCGCUAGAAAAUUAUUCAAAUCAAGUUGUUGUAUGGACUUUGGGUGUAGCAGGAUUCACUAUUAUUUCUUGCCUUGGCUUGGCCGAGGAUGAAGAUGGCACAAUUGCUGAGGUUUCUUUGCUAGACAUACACCUAUUAUGGCAAAGAUAUGUGAAGGAUCAAAUUCAUCAAAUGGAAGGCUUUUGCCAUGUUUUACCUCAAAUUGAAAUUCCAGAGUGGUUCAAGCAUCAGCGGUUUGGGUCAUUUCGACCAAUCCCACUACCUUCAAAUCUGUUCAGUAAUAAAAAUUGGAAAGGAAUUGCUCUGUGUGUCAUUUUUGUAGUCCCAGCACAUUCGAACGACGUUUGUCCUGGAGAGGAUACAAAAUAUUUUCAUGAGUUUUAUUGUCGUUUGGAAAAAAAUGGAGAUCCUAUAAAUGGAGAUCCUAUAGCUUUCAAGGUUCCUAAGGAAACAUGUGUUGGUUCAUUUGGAGUUUGGCUAUAUAUAUCGCAUGCGAGGUUUAGAAAACGUUUAGACGAACGGAGUUGCAUUACCCCUUUCAUUGGAACCAACAGCCCGGAUAUUGAGAUUAAUAUGUGUGGUGCACGUAUUCUAUAUAAGCAAGACAUGGGAGAAUUUCUACAAAA